rnacentral:lncRNA from 1 species
GAAGACAGUCGUCGUUAUUUCCUAUGUACUGAUCUACAAUGACAAUGGAUCGUCGUUCCGACUCUUGUGUACUGAUAUAUGUGUGUGGCUGUUACUUCCUGUGUACUGAUCUACAGCAACAAUGGACGAAUUGUGCGUAUACGUACUGAUUUGUAUUUGUACGGGUUUGUGGUUUGUGGUUAAUUUAGAGAUAGUAAUGAUGGUUGAAGGCAAUGGUGAUGUAUAGUGGUGCUGAUCUGUGUAUAAUGCAUUUGAAGGCGGCGGCAGUGGUGGUGAGGUGGCAUCGAUAUUUUUUUUAUGGUGAUAAGACAUAAUGGGUCGGAUGAAGAAAUGUUG